UAUAAACGCUUCCUACCGGCUGCCGCGGGGCUCGCUGCGAACAUCCCUCCCCGCGGAGCUGCGCUUUCCAGCUACGAAUAACGCCUGGCGAGGGAGGGAGAGGGCACCCGGCCACUGCUGCGUUGCUGGGGCUGAGAUUGUUAACGAUAUUUUCAGCUCAGAGGGAAAAGAGGCACCCGCCCUGACCUUAGGCUCAGCUCUGCGCCGGCGAGCCGAGAGGGUUCUGCUUCCUAUUAUUGACCGCGAUUAGAUCUCGGAGAACGCUCUUUUCGCUGCACCUCUCUACCGUGAGGCUCUGGCGCCGGGUUGGACGGAGAAGGAUGCGGUGCUGUGCGCGGCCGUAAAUCUGCAAGGUGACCCGAGGUGCCGGGCUCAGCCUGUUUCUGCGGGGUUCUAUCAGGCUGCGGAGAUGUGCUGAGGCAGGACCUCCAAAAGGCCUGUUCCAUGUCUUUGUGGUUUUGUUAUCAUAAACAAGAACCCAGCCAAGACCACCAAGUGUUAUCUUGCACACGGCCAUUUCGACAUUUUACUGCAAGAUUUAUGGCUGUAAUAAACAAUCUCUGAAACCCUUCUUUUUUUUUUUUCUUUUUUUUUUUCUCCUUUCUCCCCG
ensembl:lncRNA